rnacentral:pre_miRNA from 1 species
AAAGUACUCCCUUCGUCCCAAAAUUCUUGUCUUAGAUUUUUCUAGAUACGGAUGUAUCAAGUCACAUUUUAGUAUUAGAUACAUCUAUAUCUAGACAAAUCUAAGACAAGAAAUUUGGAACAAAGGGAGUAGUUG